GAUGAACGCUGGCGGCGUGCCUAAUACAUGCAAGUCGAGCGAACAGAUAAGGAGCUUGCUCCUUUGACGUUAGCGGCGGACGGGUGAGUAACACGUGGGUAACCUCCCUAUAAGACUGGGAUAACUUCGGGAAACCGGAGCUAAUACCGGAUAAUAUUUCGAACCGCAUGGUUCGAUAGUGAAAGAUGGUUUUGCUAUCACUUAUAGAUGGACCCGCGCCGUAUUAGCUAGUUGGUAAGGUAACGGCUUACCAAGGCAACGAUACGUAGCCGACCUGAGAGGGUGAUCGGCCACACUGGAACUGAGACACGGUCCAGACUCCUACGGGAGGCAGCAGUAGGGAAUCUUCCGCAACGGGCGAAAGCCUGACGGAGCAACGCCGCGUGAGUGAUGAAGGUCUUCGGAUCGUAAAACUCUGUUAUUAGGGAAGAACAGACGUGUAAGUAACUGUGCACGUCUUGACGGUACCUAAUCAGAAAGCCACGGCUAACUACGUG
rnacentral:rRNA from 1 species